rnacentral:rRNA from 1 species
ACGAACGCUGGCGGCGUGCUUAACACAUGCAAGUCGAACGGAAAGGCCUCUUUCGGGGGGUACUCGAGUGGCGAACGGGUGAGUAACACGUGAGUAACCUGCCCUUGACUUUGGGAUAACUUCAGGAAACUGGGGCUAAUACCGGAUAGGAGCUCCUGCUGCAUGGCGGGGGUUGGAAAGUUUCGGCGGUUGGGGAUGGACUCGCGGCUUAUCAGCUUGUUGGUGGGGUAGUGGCUUACCAAGGCUUUGACGGGUAGCCGGCCUGAGAGGGUGACCGGCCACAUUGGGACUGAGAUACGGCCCAGACUCCUACGGGAGGCAGCGGUGGGGAAUAUUGCACAAUGGGUGGAAGCCUGAUGCAGCAACGCCGUGUGCGGGAUGACGGCCUUCGGGUUGUAAACCGCUUUCGCUCAUGACGAAGCUUUGUGUGACGGUAGUGGGUAAAGAAGCACCGGCUAACUACGUG